rnacentral:rRNA from 1 species
CGAACGCUGGCGGCGUGGAUUAGGCAUGCAAGUCGAACGAUCCCUUUCUUCGGAGGGGGAUAGUGGCAAACGGGUGAGGAACACGUGGGUAAUUUACCUUUAGGUCCGGAACAACUUGUCGAAAGACGGGCUAAUACCGAAUAAGACCACGAUUCCACAGGAAUUGUGGUUAAAGAUGGGGAUCCUGAAAAUGGACCUGUCGCCUAUUGUUGAGCCCGCGUCCUAUCAGCUUGUUGGUGGGGUAAAAGCCUACCAAGGCGAAGACGGGUAGCUGGUCUGAGAGGAUGGUCAGCCACACUGGGACUGAGACACUGCCCAGACUCCUACGGGAGGCUGCAGUCGAGAAUCUUUUGCAAUGCCCGCAAGGGUGACAAUGCGACGCCGCGUGAGCGAUGAAGGCCUUCGGGUUGUAAAGCUCUGUCAGUUGGGAUGAAUGCAGGAAAAUUAAUACCUUUUCUGCUUGACGGUACCAACAGAGGAAGCCACGGCUAACUCC